rnacentral:rRNA from 1 species
GAUGAACGCUGGCGGCGUGCCUAAUACAUGCAAGUCGAGCGAACGGACGAGAAGCUUGCUUCUCUGAUGUUAACGGCGGACGGGUGAGUAACACGUGGAUAACCUACCUAUAAGACUGGGAUAACUUCGGUAAACCGGAGCUAAUACCGGAUAAUAUUUUGAACCGCAUGGUUCAAAAGUGAAAGACGGUCUUGCUGUCACUUAUAGAUGGAUCCGCGCUGCAUUAGCUAGUUGGUAAGGUAACGGCUUACCAAGGCAACGAUGCGUAGCCGAUCUGAGAGGGUGAUCAGCCACACUGGAACUGAGACACGGUCCAGACUCCUACGGGAGGCAGCAGUAGGGAAUUUUCCGCAAUGGGCGAAAGCCUGACGGAGCAACGCCGCGUGAGUGAUGAAGGUCUUCGGAUCGUAAAACUCUGUUAUUAGGGAAGAACAUAUGUGUAAGUAACUGUGCACAUCUUGACGGUACCUAAUCAGAAAGCCACGGCUAACUACGUG